UAGCGAUAGCUGUUACAGACGCAGUGGCCAUGGGGUCAUUUAUGUGGCUUCUGGUAGCUAUGUUGCUCGUUUCUCCUUCAACGUGUGCGCGGGCGAACCAACAGGCAGACGAGUCGUCCAUGGUGAAACGGAAAGCCCAGAGGUGUACACCCAACUCGACCUUCAAGAUCGACUGCAACAUGUGCUCGUGCAACAGCAGUGGAACCUCCGCCAGCUGCACCCUGUUGGGAUGUCUCAACUCCAAGCGUAGACUGGUAAACUGUGCUCCAGGAACGACCUUCAAGGACAAGUGUAACAUCUGUCGCUGCAGUUUCGAUGGUAGGAGUGGGUCCUGCACCACGAAAGUGUGUUACCCUGGCUCAUAUUAACCAGCAUUCCUUCGCGAAGGUGACCAAUUGCAGUUUAGACGAAACAACGCCAUUUUAGCAAUGUGGACCUCCUUCUUUAAUGCUGCAGCAAAUUAUUUUCAACUCCAAACUGUCAUUUGUAAUUCGCUCAUCGCCUUCUUGUAUGUAAAACAGACACAAUGAUUGUAAUCUGUCUAUCAAAGACACAACUUUACUUCAAUUGUAUGUAAAUGCAGUAUUUCUAUG